CGCUAGCGGCAGGCUUAACACAUGCAAGUCGAGGGGCAGCACGGGUAGCAAUAUCUGGUGGCGACCGGCGCAAGGGUGCGUAACGCGUGAGCAACAUGCCCGUAUCAGGGGAAUAAUCCAGGGAAACUUGGUCUAAUACCCCAUAGUAAAUAUUAAAGGCAUCUUUAAUAUUUUAAAGCUUUGGUGGAUACGGAUUGGCUCGCGUGACAUUAGCUAGAUGGUAAGGUAACGGCUUACCAUGGCUACGAUGUCUAGGGGUUCUGAGAGGAAGAUCCCCCACACUGGAACUGAGACACGGUCCAGACUCCUACGGGAGGCAGCAGUGAGGAAUAUUGGACAAUGGAUGGAAAUCUGAUCCAGCCAUGCCGCGUGCAGGAAGACGGCCCUAUGGGUUGUAAACUGCUUUUAUAUGGGAGCAAUAAGGCCUACGUGUAGGUCGAUGAGAGUACCAUAUGAAUAAGCACCGGCUAACUCCGUGCCAGCAGCCGCGGUAAUACGGAGGGUGCAAGCGUUAUCCGGAUUUAUUGGGUUUAAAGGGUGCGUAGGCGGUUUGAUAAGUCAGCGGUGAAAUAUUUCAGCUUAACUGGAAGGGUGCCGUUGAUACUGUCAGGCUUGAAUUUAGUUGCUGUGGGUGGAAUGUGUGGUGUAGCGGU
rnacentral:rRNA from 1 species